GGCAAUUAGACCGUUGGGAUCUUGUCGGGUAUCCGCCCCUAGUGAGACGGGCGCGCGGCGAUUGAUUCGGCAGCGGCUAUUUGGCAGUGCUAGUUGAAGUUCAGGAGGUUCAUAGGUAGACCCAGAUAGAAGCAUUCCAAAGGAGCUUGGUCAUUUGGAAAAUCUAGUUAGUUUGGAACUCCAACGUAAUUUAGUUAUUUGAAAAGCUAUCAACAAUAUCUCAACCCAAAUAGUUGCUGGCUUUGCAUUUGGGAGGAUUAGUAUUUGAAACAUGUCCGACUCAGUUCAAGAUAAUACGGGUUCUAAUUCAAGCCUAAACCGAGCCAUUGCAAAUACAGAUAAUGAGAAUAGUGGCUCUAAGAGAAAGUUGGCAUCUGGUAUUUGGAAUCAUUUCAAAAAACAAAAAAUUGAUGGGGUGAUGAAAGCAGUAUGUAACUAUUGUGAGAAGAGGCUAGGAGGGGAAAGUAGGAAUGGAACAAAACACUUGCAUGAACAUAUAAUAUUAUGUAAUACGAGAAACCAAGGAGACAAUGAGGUUUCUACUUUGAAUCCUAAUAGGAUAAGAAAUUCUUAUGUAAUUGAUCAAGAAAGUUCAAAGCACGCAUGUAUUAACUAAUAUAAUAGUAAUGCAUGAGUAUCCUUUAUCUAUUGUUGACCAUAUUGGAUUUAGAAGAUUUUCUCAUGCCCUUCUACCACUAUUUAAUGUGGUUCCUCGAAAGCGAAUAAAAAGUGAUAUCCUUAAAAAGUAUAAUAUUGGGAAGGAGAACAAUGAGAUAAUUGGAAAGAAAUUGCAGUAAAAUUGCCAUUACCACUGAUAUGUGGAAGUUGUGUCAAAGGAAAUUUAUGGCUGUAACUGCAAACUUCAUUGAUGAUUCAUGGAUUUUGAAGGAUUGAAUCAUCAGGUAUUUUAAAAAAAAAAAAAAAAAAUUACUUAUUAAAUUCCUCAUUAUCCAUGGCUAUUGCUUGAUAUUUAUUUUUUAUUAUUAUUAUUAUUAUUUUUCAUUUUUGUCGGUUUAUAUAUGUGCCAUGUCCAUAUAAUGUUGUCACGAUUGCAAAUUUGUUGAUGGAAUGCCUAUUGUAUUGGAAAAUUAAUGACAAGUUAUCUACUUUAACACUAGAUAAUUGUUCUAUUGAUAAUGCUAUUGUAGAUACACUCUUUGCACAGAAACUUGCAUCAUCCUCGCUUCUGUUGGGUGGUAGAUUACUUCACUUGUGUUGUGUGCAUACUUUUUGAAACUAAUGGUGAAAGAUGGCUUGAGUUUGAUAGGUGAAAGCAGUUUGAGCAUCCAUGAAAGUGUUGCUAUUUGGACAGCGACAUUCUAAAAACAAGAGAAGUUUGUAGACGCAACUCACUUGUUGAGUAUUCCAAGCACAAAGAAGUUGGUUCUUUAUUGUGCCACAAAUUGGAAUUCCACUUAUUUGAUGCUUUUUCGUGCUUUGAUGUACAAGGAUGCAUUCCCACAUUUGAGACAACAAGACUCUAAAUAUAAAUCUCUCCCAAGCGUAUAGGAUUGGGUUGUAUCUAAGAUUGUUUGUCAGUAGUCGAAGUUGUUUUACAAUGUUGAAGAGCUGUUUUCUGGAACUAUUCUUUUCUUUCCAAAGAUUUGCGAUAUUAAGUUGGCAAUUUCUCGAUCGUUAGAGUCUGAAAAUGAUGAUAUUCGGAUGAUGGCUAGUAAUAUGAAUGAGAAAUUUGAAAAGUAUUGGAAUGUGAUUUAUGGCAUAAUGGUUAUAACAACUGUGUUGGAUCCUAGAUACAAGAUGAAGUUUGAGUGACCAUUAGUGUCUUACUAUCUAUGGAGAUCGUGCUUCUGUUGAGAUCAAGAGGAUUUGCCAAAUAUUUUAUGAUUUGGUGAAAGAAUAUCAAUCAAAGUAUACACCGAGUGUGGAUAUAGGUUCUUCAACCAUGUCAUCUUCAAUGUCAAGUUUGUAUCUAGAUGAGGAUGAGGAUCCUUUAGAUAAAUUUGACUUGUUUGUUUCUAGUUCAACUAAAAUUGAACAUGUACGGGCAGAGUUGGAUUAUUAUAUGAAUGAAUCUCUCCUACCUCGGACUUCCGAAUUUGAUAUAUUGUUUUUGUGGAAACCGAAUAAGAUGUAAUAUCCUAUGUUGCAUAAGAUAGCCAGAGACUUUUGGCUAUAGUGACAUCUACAGUUGCUUCUAAAUCUGCUUUUAGUACUAGUGAGAGAGUUGUGUGUCCACAAUAUAGCAAACUUCAACCAGAGACAAUAAAGGCUUUAAUGUGCACUAGAGAUUGGUUAAAGAAAGAGAUCCAAGAUCCAAGCUCCACAACUAAUGCUGAUAGUUCUAGUUUUUAUGAUGAUGAUGAUGAUGAUAUUGACGUAGAUGAGGGGAUGCUUUUCAUGAACUUCCAUGGUUCCUGGAAACUUUGCCCUUGUGUUUUGAAGCUGAAACUUUACACUGCUGUGCUACCUCCACCAAUCAGGACCUGGGCCUUCGAUCAAAUUAUUUAUAUUGGCAAAUUUGAUUGAAACAUAGAAAUUUAUUGUACUUUAUUGGCAAAUUAUCUUAUAUUAUCUUCAACUAGUCAAAUUUUUAUUGGAAAUCAAUAUAUUCUUUUCUUCUUUCUUCUGCCAUCAGCCAUCAGCAGCAGUAGCAAUAAUA